ensembl:snRNA U6 U6 spliceosomal RNA
CUGCCUCAAUGGCACAGACACUGUAAUUGGAGCAGGACAAAGAAGAUGGCAUGACUCCUGAUCAAGGACGGCAUGCAAAUGUGUGAAUUAUAUCCAUCUGAU